AUGUUCUUCUGGAUGCAAUUACAUGACAGACUCAAUACAAGAAAUCUACUAAGAAGGAAAACAUUUGUGCUAGAAGACUAUAACUGUGCACUCACUGGAUGCCAGCAGGAGGAAACUUUGCAUCACCUAUUUUGGGGAUGCCCCUUUGCUAAGAGAUGCUGGGAUCACAUUUGUCCCACUAGAUCCCAAGAUUUAUCUGUCUUAGAGGCCUUCCAGGACAUCAAAGAAAAUAUGAGACUACCUUUCUUCAUGGACAUAAUAAUACUCAGCUCCUGGGCUAUCUGGAUUUCUAGAGACAACAAGAUUUUUGAACAUAUUCACCCCACAUUUCAAGGAUGGAAGAACAUUUAUUUGAUGGAGCUGAACUUACUCAAGCACGGAAUAAGACCAAAGCAUGCCACUCAAUUCCUUUCAUGGUUGUCUCUUCAAGGAUAG
rnacentral:rRNA from 1 species